UCUUUCUUUGCUUCCUUUUAGGUUGCUUUGAUUCCCUUUCCAUUUGCUUUCUUCAUCUUUUCCAACUUUACUUUUCCUUUUCUUCCUUUUUGACUAAUGGCCAAAUUAAUCAAGUUUUCUUAUCUGUUUCACACCUUAAUUUCUGACAAUAAUGGAAAAGGUAGCGUACAUCUACUAGGAAUAGUGAAAAAGGUAAAGCCUUACUCUUUAUUAAGCACCACAGCAACCCAACUAUGUCAGUUAUCUCACCAUAUAUCCAAAGCUGAGAAUUUGCCUGUUAGAGCCUGUUUGGAUGGGCUUAUGCCUAUAAGCUGCAUGUUGCUUAUAAGCUAAAAAAAAAAUAAGUUGGGGUAGUCUAACUUUUUUUUUUGACUUAUAAGUUGUCUUCAGCUUAUAAGCUGCUUUAGAUAAACUAAGUGAAAUGGACCCAAUUAUUUUUUUGAGCUUAUUUUAAGCGCAAAAUGACUUUAAGCUGGCCAAUCAAACAUUCAAAAAAGCUAAAAACACCUUAUAAGCAACUUAUAAGCCAAUCCAAACGGGCUCUUAGUCUUUAGCAAUAUCCUUCAACAAUGUCUCAUGCUUCUUCUUCUUCCAAAGUUUGCAAGUAUGAUGCUUUUUUGAGUUUUAGAGGUCCCCAUACCCAUAAGAACUUUGUGAGUUAUCUCUAUAAUGCUUUAGAACGAAGAGGAAUUGAUGCUUUUAAAGAUGAUGAGCGGCUGGAAACGGGAAAAUCUAUUUCUAGUGAACUACUGAAAGCCAUAGAAGAGUCCAGAUUUGCUAUUGUGAUAUUUUCAAAAAGCUGUGCAUCCUCAAGAUGGUGCUUAGAAGAGCUUGCUCACAUCAUAAAGAGCCGAAAUGAAUUGGAUCAGAUUGUGAUUCCAAAUUUUUAUGAUGUGAGUCCAUCUGAUGUAAGCCAUCAAAAUUCACCAUUCGCCGAGUCGUUUUCCCAACACGAGGAAAAACACAGAUGAUUUGGAGAAGGUUCAAAGAUGGAGAGAAGCAUGUAAGCAAGCUAGGAAAAUAUCAGGGUACCAUUUACAAGAGUGCACGGAUGAGGCAGAUUGCAUCACAAAGGUUGUUGAUUACAUGUUACUGAACGUUAUUUUACCCGUUUCGGAAAGCUUAGUGGGUACUCAAAUUGGCAAAGUAAUCUCAUUAUUACAUAUGAAACCCGAUGACGUUUAUUCCGUUGGAAUAUGGGGAAUGAGAGACAGAAAUUGCAAGUAUUAUCUAUGAGAGAUAUCGUCAUCAAUUUGAAGCUUAUUGUUUUCUUGAUGAUGUUGGAGAAAUGUGCCCAAAAAAGGGACUUAAGUGGCCACAGAAAACUCUUAUCUGCAAGCUAUUUGGAAAAAAGAUGAUUGUAACUAGUGAAUGUGAUGGAACCAUAAUUAUAAAGAAUGGGCUUCGCUGGAAGAAAGUUUUGCUCAUUCUUGACAAUGUAGACCAUCUAAGUGAACUAGAGUUUAUAGUUGGAGGGACAGAGUGGUUUGGCAGGGGUAGUAGAAUUUUGAUUACCAUGAGAGACAAGCACCAGAUAAUCACUCAUGUGAAAGAGGAUAAAGUAUAUGAAGUCCUGCUAUUGUCUCAGAAUGAAGCUCUUGAACUGUUUUGCAUGCAUGCUUUCAAAAGAAAAUCUCCAGAGAGAGUUUGAGGAACUUUCAAGUGAAGUGGUGAAGUAUGCUGAUGGACUCCCUUUAGCUCUUAAAGUUUUGGGUUCUUCUCUUUAUGGACGAAACAAAGAGCAAUGUAGAGACAUAAUUGAUGGCUUGAAGAAGAUCCCUAAUGAUGACAUUCUAGGAAAACUUAAGAUUGGUUUUGAUGGGUUGAAUAAAGAUGAGAUGAGAAUAUUCCUAGAUAUCGGAAGCUUGUACAAUCAUGAAUCAAGAUAUGACAUGGAACGAAUACUUAAGAGUUGUGGUAUUCACAUGAUAGGAAUAAGCCGUCUCAUCGAAAAAUCUCUUUUAUCCAUCAGUACAGAUGGCUACAGAUUUCAGAUACAUAAUUUGAUAAAAGAAAUGGGUGAAAAUGUCCUAAGAGAAAAGUACACAAGCAGCAUAAUAUUGCUUCAUGAGGAGAUUCAUGACCUUUUUACUGGAAAUUUGAAAACAAAAAAGGUGGAAAGCCUACAGAUCCCAAAAGGUUACCGUUUUGAAGAUGAUCAUGUAAAUCAUAACGAGGUAUUCAAGAGGAUGGAAAGCUUAUAGGUGUUGAUAGUUCAUUGUGAAACUAUUAGCUCGGACAGCACUAUCACUUGUCUUCCGUCUAGCCUGCGAUGGAUUGAAUGGCCGAACUAUCCUUCAAGUUCAUUGCCAGAGGGGUUUGAACCUUCACAUCUCGUUAGCCUUAGAUUAUCUAAAAGUCCGCUUGUCGAACUUUGGCCAAUAUCAAAGAAAUUGAGCAACUUGAAGCAUUUGGAUCUCAACAGGAGCCUCGGGUUGACAAAAAACCCUAAUUUUGGUGAUAAGCCAAACUUGGAGAUACUAUAUUUAAAUGGGUGUUCGAAUUUGGAAAAGGUCCAUCCCUGUCUUGGACAUUGCAGAAUGCUUACUUAUUUGUGUUUGUCUAGUUGUCACAAACUUAAGAAGCUUCCAAAAUUUGUUUCCAUGGAAUCUCUUGAGACUCUCUACCUCCAUGGAUGCACAAGUUUAGAAGAAUUUCCAGAAAUCUGUGGAGAUAUGUGGCGCUUAUCAAGACUCAAUGUAGAAUCCCCCUAGAUAAGAAGCUUAGCCCCGUCUUUCAGCGGCCUUAGAGUAUUGGAAUUGAGUAGUUGUGAAGUUCUUGGAAGUGUUCCGGAAGCUAUUCGUAAUCUUGAACAUCUCUGUAUUACUCAUUGCAAUAAACUUGCAACGCUGCCAAACAUCCUCUUUGAAUCACAACAAGUAGAAGCUCUUUAUAUAGAUCGAUAUUUUGGAUUGGUAGGGCUCCCCAUAUCUCUUGGAGUUUCAAAGAACCUCCGUCGGUUAAACUUAAAAGCAUGUGAGAACUUAAAGAAGCUUCCAAGCGCUAUUCAGAUAAAGAAGCUUCCAAACACUGUCUCAUUUUCACCUUUUUUUUACAUUUCGGAGAGGUCUAACUAAUAAAUCUUGCAACCUUUUAAGUAAUGAACUUGAGCUUACAAGAUUGCAGAUGUAUAAUGGUGACUUUUCUUUUCGUACUUAGAUUGGUGAGAAGGUUUUAAUAUGGAGACAUGGAAUCAUACAUGAUGGUGAAUUUUCAUUUUGUACUCAGAGACCUGAUUGGAUUGCUAAAAGAGCUGGACUUCGAGGAUCAGUCCGGAGGGUUGCCAAUGGUUGCGAGAUUGUAAUGGGAUUGCUUCUAUUUACUACAGUUGCUUUACUAGCAUGCUUUAGUCCGUCGUAAUUUGAAUUCCAAACCCGAAUGUUGUUUAACCAACUAUUCAGCAGAGAUAUCCUAAUUGUUUGUAUUUCUUGGUGGAUAUAUAGUCGAGAUAUCAUUCUUCUCUAAACAAAGGACUAAAUUUGCAAGCUUGAAAAAUUCUUCAAUACUGACUUUGUUUACUUGCAUUAUAUUGUAAAUAAUUAUGUAGUGCUCGUUGCAGCAUUUUUUAGGAGUUAAUAGUCAUGUUGGCUAAUUGCACACAUGUUUUCACAUCCUUUCUUCUUCUGGACUUUGGCAUUUGUAUUGAGCUUGCUUGACUUAGUAUCUCAAUC